AUUCAAUUUCAAGUUGUAGUUGGUUGAGAGAAAAUCCGAGAGAAACAUGAGAGAAAUUUUUAGAAAAAUAGUGAACAAUCGGUUUCCAUAGUUUGAUGUUCGGGGGACUUAUCAAGGUUAGAAGUGGUGGUGGAUCGUAGCAUUUUAUCGGGAUUUUACUCGUCCGAUCGAAUUUGUAAUUUUUUUAUAUCCUUUACAUGUAAGGAAAUUCAUGUGUAAUUAUCGAAUUUUAUUGUAAUAAAAUUUUCGGAUUUUAUACUCAA